GGGAUAAGCGGAAGAAAUUCCGUCUAAUACCGCGUAAUAACUCCGAGAGGCAUCUCCUGGGGUUUAAAGGGUAACACCGGCUACGGAUGGCCAUGCGGCGCAUUAGCUAGUUGGCGGGGUAACGGCCCACCAAGGCGACGAUGCGUAGGGGUUCUGAGAGGAAGGUCCCCCACACUGGUACUGAGACACGGACCAGACUCCUACGGGAGGCAGCAGUGAGGAAUAUUGGUCAAUGGGCGCGAGCCUGAGCCAGCCAAGUCGCGUGAGGGAAGACGGUCCUAUGGAUUGUAAACCUCUUUUGUCGGGGAGCAAAAGACGCCACGCGUGGCGUUCCGAGAGUACCCGAAGAAAAAGCAUCGGCUAACUCCGUGCCAGCAGCCGCGGUAAUACGGAGGAUGCGAGCGUUAUCCGGAUUUAUUGGGUUUAAAGGGUGCGCAGGCGGAAGAUCAAGUCAGCGGUAAAAUUGAGAGGCUCAACCUCUUCGAGCCGUUGAAACUGGUUUUCUUGAGUGAGCGAGAAGUAUGCGGAAUGCGUGGUGUAGCGGUGAAAUGCAUAGAUAUCACGCAGAACUCCGAUUGCGAAGGCAGCAUACCGGCGCUCAACUGACGCUCAUGCACGAAAGUGUGGGUAUCGAACAGGAUUAGAUACCCUGGUAGUCCACACAGUAAACGAUGAAUACUAAUUGUUCGGG
rnacentral:rRNA from 1 species